rnacentral:rRNA from 1 species
GACGUAGGGGGCGAGCGUUGUCCGGAUUCAUUGGGCGUAAAGCGCGCGUAGGCGGCCCGAUAAGUCGGAUGUGAAAUCUCACGGCUCAACCGUGGAACUGCAUUCGAUACUGUCGGGCUAGAGGCAGGUAGGGGAGAUCGGAAUUCCCGGUGUAGCGGUGAAAUGCGCAGAUAUCGGGAAGAACACCCGUGGCGAAGGCGGCUCUCUGGGACGGUACUGACGCUGAGACGCGAAAGCGUGGGGAGCGAACAGG